UAGGGAAUCUUCGGCAAUGGGGGGAACCCUGACCGAGCAACGCCGCGUGAGUGAAGAAGGUUUUCGGAUCGUAAAGCUCUGUUGUUAAGGAAGAACGAGUGUGAGAAUGGAAAGUUCAUGCUGUGACGGUACUUAACCAGAAAGGGACGGCUAACUACGUGCCAGCAGCCGCGGUAAUACGUAGGUCCCGAGCGUUGUCCGGAUUUAUUGGGCGUAAAGCGAGCGCAGGCGGUUAGAAAAGUCUGAAGUGAAAGGCAGUGGCUCAACCGGGGAGGGUCAUUGGAACCUGGUUGACUUGAGUGCAGAGGAGGAGGGUGGAAUUCCAUGUGUAGCGGUGAAAUGCGUAGAUAUAUGGGGGAACACCAGUGGCGAAGGCGACUCUCUGGUCUGUAACUGACGCUGAGGCUCGAAAGCGUGGGUAGCAAACAGG
rnacentral:rRNA from 1 species